rnacentral:rRNA from 1 species
AGUUCGGAUCGCAGGCUGCAACCCGCCUGCGUGAAGUCGGAAUCGCUAGUAAUCGCGGAUCAGCAUGCCGCGGUGAAUACGUUCCCGGGCCUUGUACACACCGCCCGUCACACCAUGAGAGUCGGGAACACCCGAAGUCCGUAGCCUAACCGCAAGGAGGGCGCGGCCGAAGGUGGGUUCGAUAAUUGGGGUGAAGUCGUAACAAGGUAGC